rnacentral:rRNA from 15 species
AAAUUGAAGAGUUUGAUCAUGGCUCAGAUUGAACGCUGGCGGCAGGCCUAACACAUGCAAGUCGAACGGUAGCACAGAGAGCUUGCUCUCGGGUGACGAGUGGCGGACGGGUGAGUAAUGUCUGGGAAACUGCCUGAUGGAGGGGGAUAACUACUGGAAACGGUGGCUAAUACCGCAUAACGUCGCAAGACCAAAGAGGGGGACCUUCGGGCCUCUUGCCAUCAGAUGUGCCCAGAU